GACGGGGGGGGGCAAGUGUUCUUCGGAAUGACUGGGCGUAAAGGGCACGUAGGCGGUGAAUCGGGUUGGAAAGUGAAAGUCGCCAAAAAAGUGGCGGAAUGCUCUCGAAACCAAUUCACUUGAGUGAGACAGAGGAGAGUGGAAUUUCGUGUGUAGGGGUGAAAUCCGUAAAUAUACGAAGGAACGCCAAAAGCGAAGGCAGCUCUCUGGGACGGUACUGACGCUGAGACGCGAAAGCGUGGGGAGCAAACAGG
rnacentral:rRNA from 1 species